rnacentral:rRNA from 1 species
UACGGAGGGUGCGAGCGUUGUCCGGAAUCAUUGGGCGUAAAGGGCGCGUAGGUGGCGCGACAAGUCAGUGGUGAAAGUUCGACGCUCAACGUCGAAUCGGCCACUGAUACUGUUGGGCUUGAGCACUGUAGAGGCUAAUGGAAUUCCGGGUGUAGCGGUGGAAUGCGUAGAGAUCCGGAAGAACACCGGUGGCGAAGGCGGUUAGCUGGGCAGUUGCUGACACUGAGGCGCGACAGCGUGGGGAGCAAACAGG